GAAUAUUGGACAAUGGGCGAAAGCCUGAUCCAGCAAUGCCGCGUGAGUGAUGAAGGCCUUAGGGUCGUAAAGCUCUUUUACCAGGGAUGAUAAUGACAGUACCUGGAGAAUAAGCUCCGGCUAACUCCGUGCCAGCAGCCGCGGUAAUACGGAGGGAGCUAGCGUUGUUCGGAAUUACUGGGCGUAAAGCGCGCGUAGGCGGCAGAUCAAGUCAGGGGUGAAAUCCCGGGGCUCAACCCCGGAACUGCCCUUGAAACUAGUUUGCUAGAAUCUUGGAGAGGCGAGUGGAAUUCCGAGUGUAGAGGUGAAAUUCGUAGAUAUUCGGAAGAACACCAGUGGCGAAGGCGACUCGCUGGACAAGUAUUGACGCUGAGGUGCGAAAGCGUGGGGAGCAAACAGG
rnacentral:rRNA from 1 species